rnacentral:rRNA from 1 species
GUGCCAAGCAGCCGCGGUAAUUCCAGCUCCAAUAGCGUAUAUUAAAGUUGUUGCAGUUAAAAAGCUCGUAGUUGAACCUUGGGUCUGGCUGGCCGGUCCGCCUCACCGCGUGUACUGGUCCGGCCGGACCUUUCCUUCUGGGGAGCCGCAUGCCCUUCACUGGGCGUGUCGGGGAACCAGGACUUUUACUUUGAAAAAAUUAGAGUGUUCAAAGCAGGCCUUUGCUCGAAUACAUUAGCAUGGAAUAAUAGAAUAGGACGUGCGGUUCUAUUUUGUUGGUUUCUAGGACCGCCGUAAUGAUUAAUAGGGAUAGUCGGGGGCAUCCGUAUUCAAUUGUCAGAGGUGAAAUUCUUGGAUUUAUUGAAGACGAACUACUGCGAAAGCAUUUGCCAAGGAUGUUUUCAUUAAUCAGUGAACGAAAGUUAGGGGAUCGAAGACGAUCAGAUACCGUCGUAGUCUUAACCAUAAACUAUGCCGACUCGGGAUCGGUGGGCGUUACUAUUUUGACUCCAUCGGCACCGUACGAGAAAUCAAAGUUUUUGGGUUCUGGGGGGAGUAUGGUCGCAAGGCUGAAACUUAAAGAAAUUGACGGAAGGGCACCACCAGGCGUGGAGCCUGCGGCUUAAUUUGACUCAACACGGGGAAACUCACCAGGUCCAGACACAAUAAGGAUUGACAGAUUGAGAGCUCUUUCUUGAUUUUGUGGGUGGUGGUGCAUGGCCGUUCUUAGUUGGUGGAGUGAUUUGUCUGCUUAAUUGCGAUAACGAACGAGACCUUAACCUGCUAAAUAGCCCGGCCCGCUUUGGCGGGUCGCCGGCUUCUUAGAGGGACUAUCGGCUCAAGCCGAUGGAAGUUUGAGGCAAUAACAGGUCUGUGAUGCCC